GACAGGAGGUGCCGAGCGUUAGGCGGAAUCACUGGGCGUAAAGCGUGCGUAGGCGGUUCGCUGUGUCCGAUGUGAAAGCCCCGGGCUUAACCUGGGAAUGGCAUUGGAAACUGGCGGGCUUGAGUGCGGCAGAGGGGGGUGGAAUUCCGCGUGUAGCAGUGAAAUGCGUAGAGAUGCGGAGGAACACCGAUGGCGAAGGCAGCCCCCUGGGUCGACACUGACGCUCAGGCACGAAAGCGUGGGGAGCAAACAGG
rnacentral:rRNA from 1 species